UACGUAGGGUGCAAGCGUUAAUCGGAAUUACUGGGCGUAAAGCGUGCGCAGGCGGUUUUGUAAGUCUGUCGUGAAAUCCCCGGGCUCAACCUGGGAAUUGCGAUGGAGACUGCAAGGCUAGAAUCUGGCAGAGGGGGGUAGAAUUCCACGUGUAGCAGUGAAAUGCGUAGAGAGUGUGGAGGAACACCGAUGGCGAAGGCAGCCCCCUGGGUCAAGAUUGACGCUCAUGCACGAAAGGCGUGGGGA
rnacentral:rRNA from 1 species